rnacentral:rRNA from 1 species
GCAGCAGUGGGGAAUCUUGCGCAAUGGGCGAAAGCCUGACGCAGCAACGCCGCGUGCGGGAUGAAGGCCUUCGGGUUGUAAACCGCUUUCAGCAGGAACGAAAAUGCGGUACCUGCAGAAGAAGGAGCGGCCAACUACGUGCCAGCAGCCGCGGUGACACGUAGGCUCCAAGCGUUGUCCGGAUUUAUUGGGCGUAAAGAGCUCGUAGGCGGUUUAGUAAGUCGGGUGUUAAAACUCUGGGCUUAACCCGGAGACGCCAUCCGAUACUACUAUGACUUGAGUUCAGGAGGGAGCGGGGAAUUCCUAGUGUAGCGGUGAAAUGCGCAGAUAUUAGGAGGAACACCGGUGGCGAAGGCGCCGCUCUGGACUGAAACUGACGCUGAGGAGCGAAAGCAUGGGUAGCAAACAGGAUUAGAUACCCUGGUAGUCCAUGCCGUAAACGGUGGGCACUAGGUGUGGGUUCAACUAACGGGAUCCGCGCCGUCGCUAACGCAUUAAGUGCCCCGCCUGGGGAGUACGGUCGCAAGACUAAAACUCAAAGGAAUUGCGGGGGNUNNANUU